GUUAGGGUAGUGGGCAGCUCUCUGAGGAGUCCUCCGAUGUUCCUCAGGCACACAUUUGAACACUACAAGCUCAAACUCAAGACUGGCUCCUCAGCAGGAGGGGAAGCUUCAGCUUCCUCCUGCCACAGCCACAAUGGUUUUGUUAAAGCCAUAGAGAAACACAGACUUGAAUUUCAGUAUACCUGUACAUCUGUUGAAAUAAACAUGACUCAGGGUGCCUGCCUUUCUGACUAAGUAUGAACUCAGGAGCCUCAGCAGACCUCACCUGCAUGAUGUGGCACUGAACCACCUGAUGCCAGCAGUGCCUCACACCUCCACACACCACAGCAGCCUCGACAAGGCCAGUCUCUCCUCGUAUUUUUACCUCAUUUUAAGAGCUUUGGCCAGCCUCAGGAGAUGAUGCUUUUGUUGUCUCUGCCACCUGACAGCAUUUCAGCAGCAGGCUGCAGGCCUCGCCUGAGGUGAGCACAGCACCAGGCUGUGCUGAGGUGCACCAGGCCCAGGUGCUGCCCCAGCGCUGCCCUGCAGAGCACUGAGGCCAGAAUUACCACAGCGAAGCCUUUACUCCUCCAGCUGGCCUCCUCAGGGCAGCCCACCUCCAUGGCACCAAGCAUGUGGGCAAUGUGUGAUGAGUUGCUAUGAGGAAUGGUUACAGACGUCAGCCCAGAUCCUACACUUGAAGGGCAGCUGCUGCCAAGCCCUUCCAGUUCUGUUAAGUGGUUACACCUCUCCAAGACUACUUUCUGAGAAGUCACUGUUGGACCAAGGGGACAUCCCAUCUUGCUACUCCGAAACAAGAACUUCAGUCACUCCUGUUAAUACAGGUCAAGAAGAGACAAGGUCAUGUAAACGUAAGCGAUUCUUAACGAGUUAUUUAUCCAUAGCUUAAUUAAAGCACAAAUAACCAUAAAGUGACUAUCUAUCGAUUUGGAACACAUCCUGAUUUAAGUUAUUUUUAUACCCUGAAGAACAAAGGUGAGGGGAUAGAACGUCUUUAACCAAGGCAGUAAUUAUUACCAAAGCGAGUUAUCUCCAAGAGCCCUUGUCCAGCCAUCAGCAAACACUGGUAGGAACAAUCACACGUGACCUAGGAAUUCGCCCAUUGCAGCUCGAAUCCCAAGAGGACAGAGUGCAUGCUGCUGUCCUUCCUCCUGCCCAGAAACCUGCCUCCACAUUUCACAGAACAAUGGGAGUGUGAUUCUCGGUGCCAGGAGAUCAGCCCAGUAAAUGCCAAGUCAGCAGAUCACAAAUAGUUCCUGUGGACCAGAUGAGCAGUCAUCCAGUCUCUAAGUGGGGCUAUCACUGGCUUUUCUGAGCAGAGGUGGAAAAGAAAGGAACAAACCACCCAUGCAUUAUACAGCUACGGAAAAGCUUGCAUACAUGAAAAAUCUUUUUACGCAUUUCACCAGUUAGAAGCUGCCUUUGCUAGACAGAGUCCUACCUGACUUCUAAAACUCUAGGCAUUGCUUCUUUUUCCUUACAUCUUUCUGUAUAUGUCUAUUUCUGGCUGAAUGUAUAUUUCUGAAAUUGUCUGCAACCUCUGCCUUCCUUAAGAACCCCUAAGCCAAAAUUACUGAGGAAUAAACAGACUCCUUUUUCAACAAUUAACAAAAGGGAGCUGUAAUUUAAUUUUAGCUAGUU